GCACGGCGGAAGGGGGCGUGGCCUUGGCCGCCGCCGUGAGCCCCGGCCCCGCCGCCCUCGGUUGUUCGUUCCGGGAAUAAAAGAAGGGGGAUCGGUCACUGGUUGUUUGCUCCUAGGAUAAAGGAGAAUCGGAGAGUGCCAUGUGGAAAGGUGUCAAAAUCUUCUAAGAAUCAGGAUGUACAACAACUGCUACUUCCUCCUUACCUGCAAAGAAGGGUGUAUGAAGCCCACACUGACCCAAGCCAAGAAAGACUUCAGAUGACUUCCAACUCCUUGUUUAACUAUCCGGCUGAUGGCAAGCACUGAGUCAAUGCUUUCAGGAGCCCCACUGAUAUUACGAGUGAGACUAAGCUGCAUUCAACUCUGGAUUAUCCAAGAGAGCAGCAUGACAACACAGCCGAAGCAGAAACCCAGAUAUAGCCAGACCUGCCCAUGACAUUCGGAGAAGAGGCUGUCAUGCCAUCGGGAACGAUUGGUGACUCCGCGGGCUGUGAUGGGCAGGGGACCUCCUCAGAAGACGCAAUGCCGUGUGGCACGGUGCUGCGUGAACACAACAGCACUCCCACGAGCCCACACUAGUUCAGCAUCAGUCACCUCGGGGGUAUCUGCACCCAUGUUACACUUAAUCCCAGACAAUCUAGAGUUGACUAACACUAUUUAUUGUUAGGCCAUGAAAAUCCACUCUGAAUCCCUGCACUGGCACUGACCUCUCUGUCCACUGAACAUUCAUUAACUCUCGUAUCCUCACAUGCAAAGCCAGGCACAGCUCUGUUCCUGGAUUCCCCUUCCCCAUCCCUCCUUAAUAACAACCGUUUCACAGCUCCUCUUCCUGUCCCUGUCCCUGUGCCUAUGGUGGGGUACUUUUCAGCACAGUGAAGUCAGGACAACAGAUGAUAAAUACAUGGGAUUCCAGUAGUUAAUACUUCCCAAAGCUUACUAAUUCUGCACUGUGCUCAAACACCGAUAUUCUCGCGACACCAUUUUAUAGGAGAAGAUGCUGCUCAGCUGGUAGUCCCAAACUGGCAGCUCAAAUAUACACCUAGUUAAAUGCUUAAAGAGAACUGAAUUGCUUUUUAGAUGCUCCAUCCACUCAAACCCCAGGCUCUUUAUUAUUCUAGUGAUAUGGCAGGAUUUAGGGGCCAAAUUUAUGCAAAUAUUUUUGAAAACAACUAUCAGUAUUUAUAGUUGAAGUACUUAACAUCCUGAAAUUAUCAUCAUCACCUAGUUUUCCUAAGGCACCUUGGUUCCCCGCCUCUCCCCUGCAGUGACCUUUUAAAUGGUAUAUUCCUCGGGGCAGGCUCUGCUUCAUCACGUCUCUCCGAGGUGACAAAAUGACCAUUAACACCUAAAAGAACUAAAAAGAGAUGACAUCCUGUCUACUGGUGUUGUACCGUUUAUAGGAAUGGACAUUUUUUUGUGGAUGCUGUUUGCCGCAAUGUCUGAUUUCUGUGCAUGUGGGAGGUCUAUGUUGAGAUGUCUGUAUGCCUGCAUUACAACCUGGUAGUUGCUGUCAUGGCCUAUGGCUUGUGCCUUUGGUUUACCUCUCUGCCCUUCUAUUUGCUUAUCAGGUUAGCGACGCACUGAAAUGCUCGGUUGCAAAAGUUGUAAUUUCUUUUCAGUGGGUCCUUGAAAACUUACCCAGCGGCUUCAUUUCCAUCCACAGCUUUCCAAUUCUACUAAACUUUUUCCCCUCCAAGCUCCUCAAAAGUAAAAGUGAGAGAAUUCUGCUGAA